UACAGAGGGUGCGAGCGUUAAUCGGAAUUACUGGGCGUAAAGCGUGCGUAGACGGUUAUUUAAGUCAGGUGUGAAAGCCCCGGGCUCAACCUGGGAAUUGCAUUUGAGACUGAAUAGCUAGGGUGCGGAAGAGGGAAGCGGAAUUUCCGGUGUAGCGGUGAAAUGCGUAGAUAUCGGAAGGAACACCAGUGGCGAAAGCGGCUUCCUGGUCCAGCACCGACGUCAGGCACGAA
rnacentral:rRNA from 1 species